rnacentral:rRNA from 1 species
UACGUAGGGUGCAGGCGUUGUCCGGAAUUAUUGGGCGUAAAGAGCUCGUAGGCGGUCUGUCGCGUCGGCUGUGAAAUCCCGGAGCUCAACUCCGGGUCUGCAGUCGAUACGGGCAGACUGGAGUUCGGCAGGGGAGACUGGAAUUCCUGGUGUAGCGGUGAAAUGCGCAGAUAUCAGGAGGAACACCGGUGGCGAAGGCGGGUCUCUGGGCCGAUACUGACGCUGAGGAGCGAAAGCGUGGGGAGCGAACAGG